GAUGAACGCUAGCGGCAGGCUUAAUACAUGCAAGUCGAGGGGCAGCACGGGCAGCAAUACUGGGUGGCGACCGGCAAACGGGUGCGGAACACGUACACAACCUUCCUUUUGGUGGGGGAGAGCCUUUGGAAACGGAGAUUAAUACUCCAUAAUACAGGGGGCCCGCAGGGGUCUAUUGUUACAGAUUUAUUGCCAGAAGAUGGGUGUGCGUCUGAUUAGGUAGUUGGCGGGGUAAAGGCCCACCAAGCCGACGAUCAGUAACUGGUGUGAGAGCACGACCAGUCACACGGGCACUGAGACACGGGCCCGACUCCUACGGGAGGCAGCAGUAAGGAAUAUUGGUCAAUGGGCGGAAGCCUGAACCAGCCAUGCCGCGUGGAGGAUGAAGGUCCUCUGGAUUGUAAACUUCUUUUAUCAGGGGCGAAAAAAGGCUUUUCUAAGUCGUCUGACGGUACCUGAUGAAUAAGCACCGGCUAACUCCGUGCCAGCCGCCGCAGUAACAC
rnacentral:rRNA from 1 species